rnacentral:snoRNA from 1 species
GAGCCCGGCCUCAGGGAUAAUUUCUAUGGUGCAUUACUAGAGAAGCUUCUCUGACCACAUAGAGCACUGGAAACCACCAGGGGAGGUGGAGCACUCUCUCCUGAGCGUGAAGCCGCCUCUUGGUGUUGCUUCCCUGCAACUGCCAUUUGCCAUUGAUGAUGGUUCUUCUCUUCCCCUGGGAGAGCAAGGGGGAGAGGACAUGGUCUGAGUGGU